rnacentral:rRNA from 1 species
UACGUAGGCAGCAAGCGUUGUUCGGAGUUACUGGGCGUAAAGGGUCCGUAGGCGGUGCGGUAAGUCGGGAGUGAAAUCUCUGGGCUUAACUCAGAGGCUGCUUCCGAAACUACCGUGCUAGAGUGCGAGAGAGGCAAGUGGAAUUGCGGGUGUAGCGGUGAAAUGCGUAGAUAUCCGCAGGAACAUCCGAGGCGAAAGCGGCUUGCUGGAUCGCAACUGACGCUGAGGGACGAAAGCUAGGGGAGCAAACAGG